rnacentral:misc_RNA from 1 species
GAUGAAGAACGCAGCGAAAUGAGAUACGUAAUGUGAAUUGCAGAGUUCAGUGAAUCAUCGAGUCUUUGAACGCACAUUGCGCCCCCUGGUAUUCCGGGGGGCAUGCCUGUCCGAGCGUCAUUGCUGCCCUCAAGCACGGCUUGUGUGUUGGGCCUCCGUCCUCCUCCCGGGGGACGGGCCCGAAAGGCAGCGGCGGCACCGCGUCCGGUCCUCGAGCGUAUGGGGCUUCGUCACCCGCUCUUGUAGGCCCGGCCGGCGCUUGCCGACACAUCAAUCUUUUUUCCAGGUUGACCUCGGAUCAGGAAGGGAUACCCGCUGAACUUAAGCAUAUCAAUAAGCGGAGGA